GACGAACGCUGGCGGCGUGCCUAAUACAUGCAAGUAGAACGCACAGUUUAUACCGUAGCUUGCUACACCAUAGACUGUGAGUUGCGAACGGGUGAGUAACGCGUAGGUAACCUGCCUGGUAGCGGGGGAUAACUAUUUGAAACGAUAGCUAAUACCGCAUAAUAUUAAUUAUUGCAUGAUAAUUAAUUGAAAGGUGCAAUUGCACCACUACCAGAUGGACCUGCGUUGUAUUAGCUAGUAGGUGAGGUAACGGCUCACCUAGGCGACGAUACAUAGCCGACCUGAGAGGGUGAUCGGCCACACUGGGACUGAGACACGGCCCAGACUCCUACGGGAGGCAGCAGUAGGGAAUCUUCGGCAAUGGACGAAAGUCUGACCGAGCAACGCCGCGUGAGUGAAGAAGGGUUUCGGAUCGUAAAGCUCUGUUGUAAGAGAAGAACGGGUGUGAGAGUGGAAAGUUCACACUGUGACGGUAUCUUACCAGAAAGGGACGGCUAACUACGUG
rnacentral:rRNA from 1 species